GAUGAGUCAGCUUGUCUUUGAAAUAAAUGAAGAACACAGAGUUAGACCACAGGACAAGAGGUCGGGAACAAAACCUGCUUAUGCACAUGAUGCAUGCAAUGCUUGUGCAUAUGAUUUUUUUAUUUAUUUCAAAGGAACUCUAGGGUUUUAUUUGCAAAUUUUGGAAAUAUUAAACAUUUAUCACAUAUGGAAAUAUCUCAUCAAAUAAUAUCA
rnacentral:lncRNA from 1 species